GCUUACGUCUCUGAAGUUGAUAUCCGAGUCCUCGGGAAAGUCUGGAAUGAUAUGCUGAUGUCACCGCAUGACAUUUUUGUCAAAUUGUGGUUGUCAUUUUUGAAUGAAACUUGACAAGCCCAGAUUUCUCCAAACUCAAAAGAAUCUGGCCGAAAACCACGUGCUUGCCGUCUAGGUGUGGUGUGGGAACCGUGGUGAUGAAGAACUGGGAACCGUUGGUGUUGGGUCCGGCAUUGGCCAUGCUGAGCAGACCCACUUUGUCAUGCUACAUGAAUGA